GAAUGUUAGUUUUCCCACUUGUGGAGCAAUGGUUCCUGAAAGACCCAUGUGAGAAAGAUUCAAGGCAGUGACUCUAUGGUGUUUGGCACCACAAGUGAUCCCAAUCCAGUUGCAAACAGAGGUAGAGGUAGACCAAUUGCUUGCCAAGGUUUUGUAAGGGUCAUCAGUGAUAUGGUCUUUGAGAGCAAGGAGAGCUGAUUGGUCUGUGGUGAUGUUGGUCCUCGCUGCCACAGUUGUGCUAGCCAUUAAACAGUGUACCAACAACAACACAAAAAAGACGAGAAAGGAAGAAAUCUUCAUGAGUUUCUACUUUCUAUCUGUCGGUUGAUUUGUGAGGCCAACUACUAUUGUAUCAAACAAGUGUGGCUGGAUGAUACUUUUAUACAUGGAGAUCUCAAUUGUUGUUGAAUUACGAAGAAAAAGAAGAGGGCGACUAAAUCAACAUUCAAUUUUUUUUGUAGUCUUCGUCUUCCUAAGAAAAGGAUAGGGAAAAGGACAACUUUUUGUUUUUUUUAUUGUUUUUGCUGAAAAGAAAGAUGCAUGUUACAUGCAACAUAGUUCAUGGCCCA